AUCCUCUGUUCUCUUCAGCUUCUUCUUCUCUCACCCUCUCUUUUAGCUGCCACCCCCAAGCUCCAUCAACAAGAAGUGAUAGCACUUAAAGAGAUCGCUAAAAAGUUUGGGAAAA